rnacentral:rRNA from 1 species
UGACAGAUAAGAGCUCUGCAUGGCAGAUCGUAGGGACUGAGAGGGAAUCGCCACCUGACUCAGAUCUUGACCAGACUCUACGGAGCAGCAGUAGGAUCAUGCGCAAUAACGAAGUCGACGUGCACGGCGCUGAGUGAGCAUGCUUGCGGUCGUAAACUCUGUCAUAGGGCAAGAUCAAGUCGUCGAUAGGGAGGAGCUUGACGUAGCGUAUCAGAAAAUCACGGCUAACUACGUGCUAGCAGCGCGGUGAUAAGUAGGUCGACAAGCUUCGUCCGGAAUUAUUGGGCGCAAAGAGUGCGCAGAGGUUCGUCAAGUCUGAUGUGAAAUCUGCGGCUCAACUGCAAGCGGUCAUUGGAAACUGGGGAACUUGAAGACAGAAGAGGAGAGCGGAAUUCUACGUGUAGCGGUGAAAUGGGUAGAGAUGUGGAGGAACACCAGUGGCGAAGGCGGCUCUAUGGUCUGUGACAGACGAUGAGGCGCGAUAGCGCGGGGAGCGUACAGGAUAAGUUACCGUGGUAGUCCACGCCGUAAACGAUGAGUGUUAGGUGUUAGGUGGUUCCACCCUUAGUGUUGCAGUUAACGCAAUAAGCACUCCGCCUGGGGAGUACGUCCGCAAGGCUGAAACUCAAAGGAAUUGACGGGGGCCCGCACAAGCGGUGGAGCAUGUGGUUUAAUUUGAAGCAACGCGAAGAACCUUGUCAGGUCUUGACAUCCUCGGACCACCCUAGAGAUAGGGUCUUCCCUUCGGGGACCGAGUGACAGGUGGUGCAUGGUUGUAGUCAGCUCGUGUCGUGAGAUGUUGGGUUAAGUCCCGCAACGAGCGCAACCCUUAACCUUAGUUGCCAGCAUUCAGUUGGGCACUCUAAGGUGACUGCCGGUGACAAACCGGAGGAAGGUGGGGAUGACGUCAAAUCAUCAUGCCCCUUAUGACCUGGGCAACACACGUGCUACAAUGGAUGGUACAAUGGGCCGCGAAGCCGCGAGGUGAAGCAAAUCCCAAAAAGCCAUUCUCAGUUCGGAUUGUAGGCUGCAACUCGCCUGCAUGAAGCCGGAAUCGCUAGUAAUCGUGGAUCAGCAUGCCACGGUGAAUACGUUCCCGGGCCUUGUACACACCGCCCGUCACACCACGAGAGUUGGUAACACCCGAAGUCGGUGGGGUAACCUUUUGGAGCUAGCCGCCGAAGGUGGGACCAAUGAUUGGGGUGAAGUAGUAACAAGGUAACUGUAAU